rnacentral:ncRNA from 2 species
AUGCAGGAUAGAGGCGCAACCUUCAAUAUUAGCGCGGGGAGGGCUCCGGAUAGGCCCCUUGAACCGAUUGCGAAAGGGACGGUUGCCGAAGAGCGGGCGAUACCGGGGUCGUCUUCUCUGGGUGCCGUGUGAACAGCCCGGCAACUGUCAUCAGGGUUUGAUGGAGAGCUAUCUGCUUU